rnacentral:rRNA from 1 species
CCAAUAGCGUAUAUUAAAGUUGUUGCAGUUAAAAAGCUCGUAGUUGAAUUUCGGGAUCAAUAUGUCGGUCGUGCUUUUUGGUACGUACUGGCGUCAUUGGUUUCUCCUUUCUGACGAGCCAUGAUGUCAUUAAUUUGGUGUUAUGGGGAGUUAGGACUGUUACUUUGAAAAAAUUAGAGUGUUUAAAGCAGGCAUUAGCUUGAAUACAUUAGCAUGGAAUAAUGCAAUAGGACGUUCGAUCCUAUUUUGUUGGUUUCUAGGAUCAACGUAAUGAUUAAUAGGGAUAGUUGGGGGCAUUAGUAUUCAAUUGUCAGAGGUGAAAUUCUUGGAUUUAUUGAAGACUAACUACUGCGAAAGCAUUUGCCAAGGAUGUUUUCAUUAAUCAAGAACGAAAGUUAGGGGAUCGAAGACGAUCAGAUACCGUCGUAGUCUUAACCAUAAACUAUGCCGACUAGGGAUCGGAUGAUGUUAAUUUUUUAAUGACUCAUUCGGCGCCUUACG